CCCUGGCCCUGUCAGAAUCGAGUUACUACAGCCUGGACGAGAUUAUGGGCCGCACCGUCCAGGCUGUAAUAGAAAGGCUGAGUGCCGGG